AUUGAACGCUGGCGGCAUGCCUUACACAUGCAAGUCGAACGGCAGCGCGGGAGCAAUCCUGGCGGCGAGUGGCGAACGGGUGAGUAAUAUAUCGGAACGUGCCCAGUAGUGGGGGAUAGCCCGGCGAAAGCCGGAUUAAUACCGCAUACGACCUGAGGGUGAAAGGGGGGGAUCGCAAGACCUCUCGCUAUUGGAGCGGCCGAUAUCAGAUUAGGUAGUUGGUGGGGUAAAGGCCUACCAAGCCUGCGAUCUGUAGUUGGUCUGUGAGGACGACCAGCCACACUGGGACUGAGACACGGCCCAGACUCCUACGGGAGGCAGCAGUGGGGAAUUUUGGACAAUGGGCGCAAGCCUGAUCCAGCAAUGCCGCGUGCAGGAAGAAGGCCUUCGGGUUGUAAACUGCUUUUGUCAGGGAAGAAAUCCUCUAGGCUAAUACCUUGGGGGGAUGACGGUACCUGAAGAAUAAGCACCGGCUAACUACGUGCCAGCAGCCGCGGUAAAAC
rnacentral:rRNA from 1 species